GUGGGGAAUUUUGGACAAUGGGCGCAAGCCUGAUCCAGCAAUGCCGCGUGCAGGAAGAAGGCCUUCGGGUUGUAAACUGCUUUUGUACGGAACGAAACGGUCCGGGUUAAUACCCUGGGCUAAUGACGGUACCGUAAGAAUAAGCACCGGCUAACUACGUGCCAGCAGCCGCGGUAAUACGUAGGGUGCAAGCGUUAAUCGGAAUUACUGGGCGUAAAGCGUGCGCAGGCGGUUUUGUAAGACAGGCGUGAAAUCCCCGGGCUCAACCUGGGAAUUGCGCUUGUGACUGCAAGGCUGGAGUGCGGCAGAGGGGGAUGGAAUUCCGCGUGUAGCAGUGAAAUGCGUGGAUAUGCGGAGGAACACCGAUGGCGAAGGCAAUCCCCUGGGCCUGCACUGACGCUCAUGCACGAAAGCGUGGGGAGCAAACAGGAUUAGAUACCCUUGUAGUCC
rnacentral:rRNA from 1 species